UGGAAGUAAAAAGUCGUAACAAGGUUUCCGUAGGUGAACCUGCGGAAGGAUCAUUGUCGAGACCCGAGCGGACGAUUGCGAACUAGUAAA
rnacentral:rRNA from 1 species